ACGUGAAUACCCUCGGAAAACUAAAAAUAACCCACAAUAAAUAAUAAUGCCGGAAAGGGUUUAUGGCCCAAACAUUUUCCUGCCAGGGGAUGGGACGGCGCCCUAUCACUUUGUUGGGGGGUUAAUGCCCCACCAAGGCAAUAACAGGUACGGCUUCUAAAAGAAUUACCCCGAAAAUGGUUACUGAAACACGCACCCAGCCCUUAUGGGGCCCACCAGGCAAAAAAAUUUUGCAUUGUGCAAAACCCCAACAAGGUUAAUCCAAUUGUUUUGUGCUAAACAAACUUUUUGUCGUCCCAAAAACCACCAAUAAAUAAGGGGGGGGCAAUUUCUGUUGCCACCCCCCGCGAAAAACCCACCCCCUCAGGUGGUCAGAAUAAUUAUUGGCCCUAAACCUUCCUUACCCGCUUCUGUAAUUUUUCGGUUAAUUCUGUCCCCUCAACGAACAGGCUGCCGGAAAUACUGCAAAGCUAGGGAGUGGAAAAGGUAAACGGUCCUCGGAAGGAAGGGUAAAAAUCCUUUAAUUUAUUGAUAACCACCUGGGGCGAAGGCGUCCUACAAAACCCCCCCCAACGGUGAGGAAUAAAAGCUGGGGAACCAAACCGAAUUAAAUACCCGGUUAGCCCCAGUUGUAAACUAUGCAAACUCAUUGAUGCAUUGGUUUGUGACCAAUGCAUUGCUGCAGG
rnacentral:rRNA from 1 species